rnacentral:rRNA from 1 species
UUAGAGGAAGUAAAAGUCGUAACAAGGUCUCCGUUGGUGAACCAGCGGAGGGAUCAUUACUGAGUUUACGCUCUAUAACCCUUUGUGAACAUACCUAUAACUGUUGCUUCGGCGGGUAGGGUCUCCGCGACCCUCCCGGCCUCCCGCCUCCGGGCGGGUCGGCGCCCGCCGGAGGAUAACCAAACUCUGAUUUAACGACGUUUCUUCUGAGUGGUACAAGCAAAUAAUCAAAACUUUUAACAACGGAUCUCUUGGUUCUGGCAUCGAUGAAGAACGCAGCGAAAUGCGAUAAGUAAUGUGAAUUGCAGAAUUCAGUGAAUCAUCGAAUCUUUGAACGCACAUUGCGCCCGCCAGCAUUCUGGCGGGCAUGCCUGUUCGAGCGUCAUUUCAACCCUCAAGCUCUGCUUGGUGUUGGGGCCCUACAGCUGAUGUAGGCCCUCAAAGGUAGUGGCGGACCCUCCCGGAGCCUCCUUUGCGUAGUAACUUUACGUCUCGCACUGGGAUCCGGAGGGACUCUUGCCGUAAAACCCCCCAAUUUCCAAAGGUGACCUCGGAUC